UAACGCCGAGCGUACAGGCAUUUAAACGCACGCACGCGCUGACGCUGAUACAGACAGCGGUUUUAUAAAUUAAAGUGACUUAAAGCGUGGGAAAGGACAAA
rnacentral:ncRNA from 1 species